rnacentral:rRNA from 1 species
GAUGAACGCUAGCGGCAGGCUUAAUACAUGCAAGUCGAGGGGCAGCAGUCCCGCAGCAAUGCGGGAGCUGGCGACCGGCAAACGGGUGCGGAACACGUACAGAACCUUCCUUCGAGCGGGGAAUAGCCCAGAGAAAUUUGGAUUAAUACCCCAUAGCAUUACGAAGUGGCAUCACUUUGUAAUUAAAGAUUUAUCACUCGAAGAUGGCUGUGCGGCUGAUAGGUAGUUGGCGGAGUAACGGCCCACCAAGCCUUCGAUCAGUAACUGGUGUGAGAGCACGACCAGUCACACGGGCACUGAGACACGGGCCCGACUCCUACGGGAGGCAGCAGUAAGGAUAUUGGUCAAUGGACGAAAGUCUGAACCAGCCAUGCCGCGUGGAGGAUGAAGGU